AUUGAACGCUGGCGGCAUGCCUUACACAUGCAAGUCGAACGGCAGCACGGGUGCUUGCACCUGGUGGCGAGUGGCGAACGGGUGAGUAAUACAUCGGAACAUGUCCUGUAGUGGGGGAUAGCCCGGCGAAAGCCGGAUUAAUACCGCAUACGAUCUACGGAUGAAAGCGGGGGACCUUCGGGCCUCGCGCUAUAGGGUUGGCCGAUGGCUGAUUAGCUAGUUGGUGGGGUAAAGGCCUACCAAGGCGACGAUCAGUAGCUGGUCUGAGAGGACGACCAGACACACUGGGACUGAGACACGGCCCAGACUCCUACGGGAGGCAGCAGUGGGGAAUUUUGGACAAUGGGCGAAAGCCUGAUCCAGCAAUGCCGCGUGUGUGAAGAAGGCCUUCGGGUUGUAAAGCACUUUUGUCCGGAAAGAAAUCCUUGGCCCUAAUACGGUCGGGGGAUGACGGUACCGGAAGAAUAAGCACCGGCUAACUACGUG
rnacentral:rRNA from 1 species